CAUGCCGUAAACGAUGAAUGCUAGGUGUUGGAGGGUUUCCGCCCUUCAGUGCCGCAGCUAACGCAUUAAGCAUUCCGCCUGGGGAGUACGACCGCAAGGUUGAAACUCAAAGGAAUUGACGGGGGCCCGCACAAGCGGUGGAGCAUGUGGUUUAAUUCGAAGCAACGCGAAGAACCUUACCAGGCCUUGACAUCCAAUGAACUUUCUAGAGAUAGAUUGGUGCCUUCGGGAACAUUGAGACAGGUGC
rnacentral:rRNA from 1 species